UUUGGAAAGUACAUCAAUUGGUAGAGCAUGAGGCUCUUAUUCUCAAGGUUGUGGGUUCAAGCCCCACAUUGGGCAAAA